UGUCCCAUAGCUUAGUUGGCUACGGCGUCCGACUGUUAUAUCUGAGUCGGAUUCUUUGUCUAUUCAUCGGAAGAUCGAGAGUUCAAGUCUCUCUGGGACAG